rnacentral:rRNA from 1 species
GACGAACGCUGGCGGCGUGCUUAACACAUGCCAGUCGAACGAAGAGCGAUGGAAGCUUGCUUCUAUCAAUCUUAGUGGCGCACGGGUGAGUAACGCGUAAUCAACCUGCCCUUCAGAGGGGGACAACAGUUGGAAACGACUGCUAAUACCGCAUACGAUCUAAUCUCGGCAUCGAGGAUAGCUGAAAGGUGGCCUCUACAUGUAAGCUAUCACUGAAGGAGGGGAGUGGGUCUGAUUAGCUAGCUGGAGGGGUAACGGCCCACCAAGGCGAUGAUCAGUAGCCGGUCUGAGAGGAUGAACGGCCACAUUGGGACUGAGACACGGCCCAGACUCCUACGGGAGGCAGCAGUGGGGAAUCUUCCGCAAUGGACGAAAGUCUGACGGAGCAACGCCGCGUGAGUGAUGACGGCCUUCGGGUUGUAAAGCUCUGUUAAUCGGGACGAAAGGCCUUCUUGCGAAUAGUGAGAAGGAUUGACGGUACCGGAAUAGAAAGCCACGGCUAACUACGUG